GGUUGGUCUGAGUGCAGUUGUGUUUACAACUAAUUGAUCACAACCAUUUAUAGUUUCCUUUGUUCCUUCUCCACUCCCACUGCUCCACUUGACCAGCUUUUA
rnacentral:Y_RNA from 1 species